rnacentral:rRNA from 1 species
UACAGAGACCGCAAGCGUUAUUCGGAUUCACUGGGCGUAAAGGGUGCGCAGGUGGCCGUGUGUGUGAGGCGUGAAAGCCCGGGGCUUAACCCCGGAAUUGCACCUCAAACUACAUGGCUAGAGCAUUGGAGAGGGUAACGGAAUUCACGGUGUAGCAGUGAAAUGCGUAGAUAUCGUGAGGAACACCAGAGGCGAAGGCGGCUACCUGGACAAUUGCUGACACUCAGGCACGAAAGCGUGGGGAGCAAAAGGG